UACGGAGGGUGCGAGCGUUGUCCGGAAUCACUGGGCGUAAAGGGCGCGUAGGCGGCGCGGGAAGUCAUCGGUGAAAGUUCAGGGCUCAACUCUGAAUCGGCCGGUGAUACUCUCGUGCUUGAGCACUGUAGAGGCAGGUGGAAUUCCGGGUGUAGGCGGUGGAAUGCGUAGAGAUCCGGAAGAACACCGGUGGCGAAGGGCGGCC
rnacentral:rRNA from 1 species